AUCCAGACUCCUACGGGAGGCAGCAGUGGGGGAUAUUGCACAAUGGGGGAAACCCUGAUGCAGCAACGCCGCGUGUGGGAAGAAGGUUUUCGGAUUGUAAACCACUGUUCUUGGUGAAGAUAAUGACGGUAACCAAGGAGAAAGCUCCGGCUAACUACGUGCCAGCAGCCGCGGUAAUACUGAGGAUGCGAGCGUUAUCCGGAUUUAUUGGGUUUAAAGGGUGCGUAGGCGGAAGGUUAAGUCAGCGGUCAAAUGUCGGUGCUCAACACCGGCCUGCCGUUGAAACUGGUCUUCUUGAGUGAGCGAGAAGUAUGCGGAAUGCGUGGUGUAGCGGUGAAAUGCAUAGAUAUCACGCAGAACUCCGAUUGCGAAGGCAGCAUACCGGCGCUCAACUGACGCUGAGGCACGAAAGCGUGGGGAUCGAACAGGAUUAGAUACCCUAGUAGCG
rnacentral:rRNA from 1 species